rnacentral:tRNA from 1 species
CGGGGCGUAGCGCAGUUCGCUUUAUCGCGCAGCGGAUGGGACGCUGAGGUCGGAGGUUCGAAUCCUCUCGCCCCGACCA